rnacentral:rRNA from 1 species
GCCUAAAGCGUCCGUAGCCUGCUUUGUAAGUUUUCGGUUAAAUCCAUAUGCUCAACAUAUGGGCUGCCGGGAAUACUGCACAGCUAGGGAGUGGGAGAGGUAGACGGUACUCGGUAGGGAGGGGUAAAAUCCUUUGAUCUAUUGAUGACCACCUGUGGUGAAGGCGGUCUACCAGAACACGUCCGACGGUGAGGGAUGAAAGCUGGGGGAGCAAACCGGAUUAGAUACCCGGGUAGUCCCAGCUGUAAACUAUGCAAACUCGGUGAUGCGUUGGCUUGUAGCUAGCGCAGUGCCGCAGGGAAGCCGUUAAGUUUGCCGCCUGGGAAGUACGUACGCAAGUAUGAAACUUAAAGGAAUUGGCGGGGGAGCACCACAAGGGGUGAAGCCUGCGGUUCAAUUGGAGUCAACGCCAGAAAUCUUACCCGGAGAGACAGCAGAAUGAAGGUCAAGCUGAAGACUUUACCAGACAAGCUGAGAGGUGGUGCAUGGCCGUCGCCAGCUCGUGCCGUGAGGUGUCCUGUUAAGUCAGGUAACGAGCGAGACCCUUGCCUCUAGUUGCCACCAUUACUCUCAGGAGUAGUGGGGCGAAUUAGCGGGACCGCCGCAGUUAAUGUGGAGGAAGGAAAGGGCCACGGCAGGUCAGUAUGCCCCGAA